rnacentral:rRNA from 1 species
UUAAGCGACUAAGCGUACACGGUGGAUGCCCUGGCAGUCAGAGGCGAUGAAGGACGUGCUAAUCUGCGAAAAGCGCCGGCGAGGUGAUAUGAACCUUUGACCCGGCGAUGUCCGAAUGGGGAAACCCAGUGUGUUCCGACACACUAUCGUUAACUGAAUACAUAGGUUAACGAGGCGAACCGGGGGAACUGAAACAUCUAAGUACCCCGAGGAAAAGAAAUCAACCGAGAUUCCCCCAGUAGCGGCGAGCGAACGGGGAGCAGCCCGGAGUCUGAAUCAGCUUGUGUGUUAGUGGAACGGUCUGGAAAGUCCGACGGUACAGGGUGAUAGUCCCGUACACGAAAGCACACAGGUUGUGAACUCGAAGAGUAGGGCGGGACACGUGGUAUCCUGUCUGAAUAUGGGGGGACCAUCCUCCAAGGCUAAAUACUCCUGACUGACCGAUAGUGAACCAGUACCGUGAGGGAAAGGCGAAAAGAACCCCGGCGAGGGGAGUGAAAAAGAACCUGAAACCGUGUACGUACAAGCAGUGGGAGCCUACUUGUUAGGUGACUGCGUACCUUUUGUAUAAUGGGUCAGCGACUUAUAUUCUGUAGCAAGGUUAACCGUAUAGGGGAGCCGAAGGGAAACCGAGUCUUAACUGGGCGUUAAGUUGCAGGGUAUAGACCCGAAACCCGGUGAUCUAGCCAUGGGCAGGUUGAAGGUUGGGUAACACUAACUGGAGGACCGAACCGACUAAUGUUGAAAAAUUAGCGGAUGACCUGUGGCUGGGGGUGAAAGGCCAAUCAAACCGGGAGAUAGCUGGUUCUCCCCGAAAGCUAUUUAGGUAGCGCCUCGUGAACUCAUCUUCGGGGGUAGAGCACUGUUUCGGCUAGGGGGCCAUCCCGGCUUACCAACCCGAUGCAAACUACGAAUACCGAAGAAUGUUAUCACGGGAGACACACGGCGGGUGCUAACGUCCGUCGUGAAGAGGGAAACAACCCAGACCGCCAGCUAAGGUCCCAAAGUCAUGGUUAAGUGGGAAACGAUGUGGGAAGGCACAGACAGCCAGGAUGUUGGCUUAGAAGCAGCCAUCAUUUAAAGAAAGCGUAAUAGCUCACUGGUCGAGUCGGCCUGCGCGGAAGAUGUAACGGGGCUAAACCAUGCACCGAAGCUGCGGCAGCGACGCUUAUGCGUUGUUGGGUAGGGGAGCGUUCUGUAAGCCGUUGAAGGUGGCCUGUGAGGGUUGCUGGAGGUAUCAGAAGUGCGAAUGCUGACAUAAGUAACGAUAAAGCGGGUGAAAAGCCCGCUCGCCGGAAGACCAAGGGUUCCUGUCCAACGUUAAUCGGGGCAGGGUGAGUCGACCCCUAAGGCGAGGCCGAAAGGCGUAGUCGAUGGGAAACAGGUUAAUAUUCCUGUACUUGGUGUUACUGCGAAGGGGGGACGGAGAAGGCUAUGUUAGCCGGGCGACGGUUGUCCCGGUUUAAGCAUGUAGGCGGAGGUUCCAGGUAAAUCCGGUACCUUUUUAACGCUGAGGUGUGAUGACGAGGCACUACGGUGCUGAAGUAACAAAUGCCCUGCUUCCAGGAAAAGCCUCUAAGCAUCAGGUAACACGAAAUCGUACCCCAAACCGACACAGGUGGUCAGGUAGAGAAUACCAAGGCGCUUGAGAGAACUCGGGUGAAGGAACUAGGCAAAAUGGUGCCGUAACUUCGGGAGAAGGCACGCUGAUAUGUAGGUGAAGCCCCUGCGGGUGGAGCUGAAAUCAGUCGAAGAUACCAGCUGGCUGCAACUGUUUAUUAAAAACACAGCACUGUGCAAACACGAAAGUGGACGUAUACGGUGUGACGCCUGCCCGGUGCCGGAAGGUUAAUUGAUGGGGUUAGCGGCAACGCGAAGCUCUUGAUCGAAGCCCCGGUAAACGGCGGCCGUAACUAUAACGGUCCUAAGGUAGCGAAAUUCCUUGUCGGGUAAGUUCCGACCUGCACGAAUGGCGUAAUGAUGGCCAGGCUGUCUCCACCCGAGACUCAGUGAAAUUGAACUCGCUGUGAAGAUGCAGUGUACCCGCGGCAAGACGGAAAGACCCCGUGAACCUUUACUAUAGCUUGACACUGAACACUGGUCCUUGAUGUGUAGGAUAGGUGGGAGGCUUUGAAGCGUGGACGCCAGUCUGCGUGGAGCCGACCUUGAAAUACCACCCUUUAAUGGCUGGUGUUCUAACGUAGACCCGUAAUCCGGGUUGCGGACAGUGUCUGGUGGGUAGUUUGACUGGGGCGGUCUCCUCCCAAAGAGUAACGGAGGAGCACGAAGGUUAGCUAAUCCUGGUCGGACAUCAGGAGGUUAGUGCAAUGGCAUAAGCUAGCUUGACUGCGAGAGUGACGGCUCGAGCAGGUGCGAAAGCAGGUCAUAGUGAUCCGGUGGUUCUGAAUGGAAGGGCCAUCGCUCAACGGAUAAAAGGUACUCCGGGGAUAACAGGCUGAUACCGCCCAAGAGUUCAUAUCGACGGCGGUGUUUGGCACCUCGAUGUCGGCUCAUCACAUCCUGGGGCUGAAGUAGGUCCCAAGGGUAUGGCUGUUCGCCAUUUAAAGUGGUACGCGAGCUGGGUUUAGAACGUCGUGAGACAGUUCGGUCCCUAUCUGCCGUGGGCGCUGGAGAAUUGAGGGGGGCUGCUCCUAGUACGAGAGGACCGGAGUGGACGCAUCACUGGUGUUCGGGUUGUCAUGCCAAUGGCACUGCCCGGUAGCUAAAUGCGGAAGAGAUAAGUGCUGAAAGCAUCUAAGCACGAAACUUGCCCCGAGAUGAGUUCUCCCUGAGACUAUAAGUCUCCUGAAGGAACGUUGAAGACGACGACGUUGAUAGGUCGGGUGUGUAAGCGCAGCGAUGCGUUGAGCUAACCGAUACUAAUGAACCGUGAGGCUUAACCU